rnacentral:lncRNA from 10 species
CCACUCAAAAUGCACAGAACUUCCCACACAGUAGGUAUUAAAUUUAUGUCGGUAUGUGAAUUUAUUCCUAAUGUCAGGAAAAAGCAGCAAGUCUCCUAAAGACAGAAAUACAAAAGGAUAGGCAGGGAUAGAUAUUUAACAAAAAGGGAAAGAAAAAUGAGUAACAAACUUUUAAAAUACUCUACUUCACUAAUAAUAAUGUUUAAAAUGUAAACAAGAAGAUAUAAUUGUGCAUGUUUUUAAAAAAUGGGGGACAAAGUUAAAAGAAUAUAUGAUAUGGACAACUUCAUAAAUUGAUGAUGGAGGUAUAAAUUAGAGUCUUACUCUGGAAGCAUCUUGGCAUUUUUGUAUCUAGAGUUUAAAAAAUAUUGAUACCCUUUGAUCUGGUAUUUCCACUUGCAAUAUGCAUAGCAAGAUAGUCAUAGACUAACAUUCACAGAAAA